rnacentral:lncRNA from 1 species
CUAAAUCAUGCUGUGUCACAACCUAACUUGUGUCUCUUAUGAUGGAAGAAAAUGAAAAAUCCAUGAUAAGAAUACAAUUUCUUACAAUGGAAUUGUUUUGCAGAAAUUUUUUUCCAAGACUUUUUUCACACACUGUUGCUGAGGUACUAGAGUUUUAUGCUUAUCAUGUUGUGCUACCAGGAUAGGCCUUUCUUCUGGUGAGUGCCCUGAUGAAAAUCAAGAAAGAAUUUAACAGAAAACACUUGUGUUGGGAAGUGAGAAACUGGUUUCAGAUGUCAGCUUAAUAAGAAGUGUUCAAGAAGAAAUUAAACACCAUAUUCACAUCUUGGAAAUGAGCUGUUAAAAGGAUGUGGUUCACCUUCAGAGCAAGCCUUUAUAGACAGAAAAUCCAACUGUGGUCCUGGCUCCAAAACCGUAGGUAGAAAUUACAGACUUUCUUUGACAGUUGUGUUCAGGAUGAUUUGACAUUUUGCCUGGUUUACGUGAAGGAGUCAUAGUUUAAAAUAACCCCACAUACAGGCAAAUAAGAAUGUUUAACAUAUUAUAUCUUGGGGAAUACUGAGAGUUUCUCUUGUAAGUGGAAAUGUAAUGUCAUAAACAGAAGGGAAGGAAAUGUUCCAGUCUUUUAGAUAAAACCAGAUACUCUUCACUUGUACUUGAGUAAUUUUCCACCCUGCACACUGGUAAUAAUAAGCCCAUUGCCCAUUCCCUGACUGUGACUCUCCUGAAUCCACAACUUUGAUUGGAAACUCUCAACCCCUGACAGGCGUCCAGAGCACUGAUUACGAAGGCACCCCACACACUUCCAUCAUAAACAUUUGGCAGAUCAGGGAAUGCUGAAAAGUGAUGCCCCUGGCUCUCAGAAGAGGGUACUAGUGGGAGAAGAAAUAGAACAUUUUCCUUCUUGCAGCUGUCAAAGAGUGAUUAUGUCAAAUGAGUUUUUAAGGAGCCACAAAGUAAUUACAAGUUAUCAGUGCCAAGCGUGGUGGGACACACCUGUAACCAGGAAGCUGAGGCAGGAGGAGUGCUGUGAGUUCAAGACCAGUCUGGACUACAUAGUGAGUUCAAAGCCAGCCUAUACUGCAUAGUAAGACCCUGUCUCAAGAAGCAUGCUCGCACACACACACAAAGUUGUCAGUGAUACGAGAAAUGUUUAGUUAUCUUAGGGUUUUCAUUGACUCAUACACUAAAAGAUGUUUCAUAGCCAGAAAAUUUCUUAUAAGAAAAAUGGAACUCUCUCACAUUCUGAGAAUUCACAACACUUUAUAUUUAGCAUAAUAGAAAAUAUUUUUGUUUCUUUUUGCCUUUAUUUCAUAUAAUUUAU